GUUCAAUCAAAACCAUGCAAAUGGCAAAGUGUUAACAAAGAGUCUGUCCUGCUCACGUUAGUUGAUUAGUUAUUAUAUUAUGAACGAGCAGGAUAGAUUCUUUGUUUACACUUCGACAUUGUGCCAUUUACAUUGUUUUGCGUAAAAAAGGUCCACAUAUUUGCAAUAGCCGUUAACAGUGAAAACUGGUCGGAUUUAGACGUGCGCCAGGAGAACAAAUCAAGCAAAACAAUGUAAAUGGGCAAAAGCCAAAGUGUAAACAAAGAGUCUGUCCUGCUCGUUCCUAACGUAAACAUCCAUUGAAUUAAGCAGGACAGACUGUUUGUUUACACUUUGGCUUUGGCCCAUUUACAUUAUUUUGCCUGAAAUAUUAGCAAAUCACCUGCUGGAGGGUUAAGUUUUGGCUGACGCACGAAGUGAUUUGUUUACCUUUUUUUGGUACCCUCCGCAAACGUCAAAGCAUACAAAAUUGCUGCCAGAUCUUUUCCGGGAGAGAUCCGGAAAAGUUCCGGCAGCAAUUUGUAUUGAUAUGACGUUUGCUGAGGGUGCCCAAAAGUUUAGUUACGUUCAGCCUGCAAAUCACUGAUUCUGACGGAAUAAAGUGAUUAUUUAUCACCCCUUGGGAUUUCUUCUCAAACUUUUAUCGUUCUCUUUUUCCAGGUAAAAGUAAAAGACGCUUACACAAAAAAUGUUUUUCAAAACGGCUGAGUCGAUUCAAGCUGCUUUUCUGUCAGCUGAAAAAAUAGUCUUGCCAACCCUACCUUCCCGAAGAAAGGAGCGGAGGAGGAAGUUGAUUCGCCGAAGUCGGAACGUGAGCUGCAAAACCGGCGGAGAUUGUGUCGUUCCCAUAGGCUAGGUUGGUGAGUUGAUUGGUGAACUCGAUUCCGUGCAAGCACACAUCAGCGGCUUCUUGCUUAAGAAGGUAAUUUGAAAAAAAUCCUUGAAAAAUUAUCUUUAAAAAAAAAGCUUUUAACUCCAGCUUCUAACAUUCCAGAUCGAUCAAUUGUUUUCAAGGGCAUGGAUAGCAACAUCAUCAAGAAGAUUCAACUAACCACGUGCCGUUGAUCAUAAAAACAUUCUGUGCUGAAGAAUAUCACCAGCAAAACCACCUUCAGAUAAGUGCUUGAUUUUUUUCUACAAAAGAAUUAGACACUUUGUGAUAAUUUCCAACAUUUUAGGUAGAAACUCAACUUGGACCAAAAGUAACAGAAAAGGCAGCCCUAGUUGAAAAAAAAGAAAGAUGUGUGCGUCAGUAAAUCAAAAGCGAUCUCGGGUUGGAGUGAACUAAGAGAGCCAGGAUCAGCAAAUCUUCAGACAAAGAUUGACUCCAAAGAAUUCGACCGUAUUAAAAUUUCCGGUUGAACUCAAGAACAACAAGAUCACCAGAUGAACUCUCGGUUAUCCGACGUUGCACGACUGCGCCGUUUUCCUUCAGAACAAUCUUCAGAACCGGCUGCUGAAGUAACCUCUGGGACCCCUCCAUCCGACCAACAAUUUCCAAAGAAUGACGGAGAUGGAGCUGAUCGUGGUGUACAGCUUUGGUCAACUCUACCACAGCGGAUACCUCCCUGAACUGUGUUUUUUCUUCUGUUUAGUUUAUUCUAAAAAAUUUUUUGUGUUAUUUUCUCUUCAGUUUAAUUUGUUGCCAAUUUAGAAUCCCGCAAACUCUCCAUCAUGUUUGAAUUUAAAAUCCAUAUAUCAUUAGGACAAUUCAGACAAAAAUAUAAUAUAUAUAUCAAAUAA